AUGCCUCAUCCCGCUGCCUUCUUCUUCGUCGUCGACGCGCCUCAUUCCACCGCCUUCCCUGUCGCCGGCGCGCCUCAUCCCACCGCCUUCCCUGGCGCUAGCGCGCCCAUUCCCACGGCCUUCCCCACCGCCGGCGUGCCCCUUCCCGCACUGAGCCGCCGGAUCCAGGCCUUUGCGGGCCCGUGCUAUUCUCCACUGCCGAAUCCACGCAGCGUCUCUCCGAGCAGCUCCAGCCACUCCGCGCUGCCGCCGCUGGGAUCCACCUCCUCUCAUCUCACCUGCCACAGCCUCACCACCUCCUCCCGCCCACCCGCCCCAACCCUGAACGCGAUGCCCCACCGCCGGAGCCAGGGCGCAGCGGCCUGUCUUCACGCCUCGCUUCCACAUCCUGCCGGCGCAGUCUGGGUCGACCAUCAUGCCAGCGACCUGCUACAUACCAAACUCAGAUCUGGCAUCACCGGCCUCGGAUCUGGCCACCCUGGCCGCGUCACCCCUCCUCAUCUCGCCGCAGUUCGCCAUCAUCAGACGGGAACCCCCUGCAUGCCAUUGAGCUCCGCCUCGGCUUGUAGUUCACCGGAGAUGGGAGUGCAGCUCGGUUGCACGGCGCAUGCGGCUCAGAUAGCUUGUGUGUGCAGCUCGUUGGCCGACCACUCCUGGACUCCGGUAGCAAAGGACGCCAACGGUGGAAGCCAGCACAAUCUCUCCUUCGGCCGGCCCCAGGAAUAG
rnacentral:rRNA from 1 species